rnacentral:rRNA from 1 species
AAUGGACGCUGGCGGCAUGCCUUACACAUGCAAGUCGAACGGCAGCACGGGUGCCUGCAUCUGGUGGCGAGUGGCGCACGGGUGAGUAAUACAUCGGAACAUGUCCUGUAGUGGGGGGUAGCCCGGCCGAAGCCGGAUUAAUACUGCAUACGAAUUACGGAUGAAAGCUGGGGCCAUACGGACAUCCGGCUUUGCUGUCGGUCGUAGGUGGAUUAGCUAGUUGGUGGGGUAAAGGCCUACCAAGGCGACGAUCAGUAGCUGGUCUGAGAGGACGACCAGCCACACUGGAACUGAGACACGGCCCAGACUCCUACGGGAGGCAGCAGUGGGGAAUUUUGGACAAAGGGCGAAAGCCUGAUCCAGCAAUGCCGCGUGUGUGAAGAAGGCCUUCGGGUUGUAAAGCACUUUUGUCAGGAAAGAAAUCCUUUGCCCUAAUACGGUCGGGGGAUGACGGUACCGGAAGAGAAAGCACCGGCUAACUACGUG